rnacentral:rRNA from 1 species
UACGUAGGUGGCAAGCGUUGUCCGGAUUUACUGGGCGUAAAGAGCGCGCAGGCGGUCGUUCAAGUCGAGUGUGAAAGCCCCCGGCUCAACUGGGGAGGGUCGUUCGAUACUGAUCGACUGGAAGGCAGGAGAGGGAAGCGGAAUUCCUGGUGUAGCGGUGAAAUGCGCAGAUAUCAGGAGGAACACCGAUGGCGAAGGCAGGUCUCUGGGCCACUACUGACGCUGAGAAGCGAAAGCAUGGGGAGCGAACAGG